ensembl:snoRNA LOC120093442 small nucleolar RNA SNORA17
ACUGCUCCCAGAGGCAUUUCAGGUGUGGCUGCUGUGACACACAAGCAUCAGUAGGUGGCAGAGAGGAGAGAGGUUAUAGCUAUGCUCUGUGUUCUGAUCUGUGAACGUCUGAAUGAUUAGUAGCCUAACAUU